rnacentral:rRNA from 1 species
AGAGUUUGAUCCUGGCUCAGAACGAACGCUGGCGGCGUGCUUAACACAUGCAAGUCGGAUGCGAGGAGUUCCUUCGGGGGCUGAGUAGCAUGGCAGACGGGUGCGGAACGCGUACGUGACCUGGCUCGUGAUGGGGGAUAGGCCUUCGAAAGAGGGGAUAAUCCCGCAUACGCUCUUUCUGGUGGAGCGGGAAGAGGAAAGUGGGCAGAGGCAGAGCAAGCUGACGUCACGAGGGGGGCGUGCGUCCUAUCAGCUAGUUGGUACGGUAACGGCGUACCAAGGCGACGACGGGUAGCUGGUCUGAGAGGAUGAUCAGCCACACUGGGACUGAGACACGGCCCAGACUCCUACGGGAGGCAGCAGUGGGGAAUUUUGCGCAAUGGGCGCAAGCCUGACGCAGCAACGCCGCGUGUGUGACGACGCCCUUCG